ACAACAUUGCAGGUCUAACCAUAGCUCUAUAAAAUUUCCCCUUGAGUUUCUGUGGAACUUUCUUGUCACACAGGACUCCUGAUGCAAGCCUCCACUAUAACCACCCCGCUCUUAUACGAUGAGUGACGUCCCCGUCAAUCUCUCUGUCCCCUGAAUCACCGACCCAAGAUAACUGACACUGUCCCUCUUGGCGAUGACCUGUGAUCCAAUCAUCACGUCCCUGCCUACUUUGCUCAGCUCGGCACUAAACUUGCACUCCAGGUAUUCUGUCUUAGAUCUGCUUAUUUUGAAACCCUUAGACUCGAGAGUCUGUCUCCAUACCUCUAACCUCUC
rnacentral:lncRNA from 1 species